rnacentral:rRNA from 1 species
UACGUAGGGGGCAAGCGUUGUCCGGAAUCAUUGGGCGUAAAGAGCGCAUAGGCGGCCCUGUAAGUCCGCUGUGAAAUCUCCCGGCUUAACUGGGAAACUGCAUCGGAAACUGACCGGCUUGAAGGUGGGAGAGGGUAGUGGAAUUCCCGGUGUAGUGGUGAAAUGCGUAGAUAUCGGGAGGAACACCAGUGGCGAAGGCGACUACCUGGCCCAUUCUUGACGCUGAGGCGCGAAAGCUAGGGGAGCGAACGGG